AAACACUCAGCCACUGGAAAGGAGGCCUAUUUUCCUGCAUAAACUCUGUAAAAGGCCGAUUUUCCAUGAGUAAGGUUGACUUGUUUACCAACACUCCAACAGAGGGCUGAGUGACGUCAUAAAGGGGAGAACACGGCUGGCUGUCUGGCAACGCUGUUUCAGAUCUGCGCCCUAGGAUAAGCCAGCCCGACAAUGAUGAGAUAGUGCCUGGGCCCAGCCUGAGUGUGUCUCUGUGAUGGUGAGGUGGUGAGGUGCCGCCCAUCAGGGCCGGACACCCCUUGCCACGCCCCCCGCGUAUGGCCGGGGCACCCCAGUAGCCGCCACGCCAGGCUGUGCCACCAUGAGCGACGGCGUCAGCAAGUGGCCCUGCGGGAGAUGCACGUACCUCAAUUUUGCCAAUGCCAUCCGCUGUACCAUGUGCACGGUGCCCCGCUCCCCACACCUCAUUGUGGAGGCUGGGGCAGACAUCUAUCAGCUGGCCCCGCCCUCACCCACACCCCGGCCGCCCGAGGGGCCGCCCCCGCAAGAAGGAGACAAGUGGGUGUGUCACCUGUGUACUUAUCGCAACUAUCCACGUGCCCUGCGCUGCACACAGUGCCGCACCCCGCGCCUCUCCCUGGCUGACCAGAUGGCUGACCUCUCCUUGGCCAAGCCAACCACCCCCACCCCCACCACCACGCUCCCAACGGUGCCUGUCAUCAUCACCGCUGCCUCCACCACGGGCACCACUGCCUUAGUCCCGCCUGCCCCCUCUAUCACCUCCACAGCCGCCACCACCACCACCACUUUCACCACCACUGCAGCUGCUGCGGCCACCACUGCCAAUAACCGCACUGCCACCCCCACCCAGGGGCGGGCCGCAGCUCAGAGUGGAGGUGGGGCGUCUCAGGGGGCAGGGGCUGAGCACCAGAGCCCUGGGGGAGGGACGCCUCCCGGGGGUGCAGGGCGGUGCAGUCCCCAGGGGGCUGGACUUUCCCAGUCCCAGACCCGGCCCUGCUCAGAGCCCAACGUGCCCAGCUACAAGUGGCGGUGCCGUGCCUGCACCUACGAGAACUGGCCCAAGUCUGGCCGCUGUGUAAUGUGUGCCACCAUCAAGGGCUCCACCUCCUCCUCAGACCGGCCGCAGCCCUCCCGGCUAGCCACCCCACCUCCGCCCAGCGAAGGCACUCAGUCCCCAGGGGAGGGCGGUGUGGCCCCCAGGACGCCAGAGCCAGCAGGCGGGGAGGUGCACAUCAUCUGUGAGUCCAGCGAUGAGCAGCAUGUUGAGAACAAUGCCAAGAAUAGAGACAACAUCAAUGAGAUUAACAAGGCGCGCAGUAGUGAGGGCGGGGCGCCUGCCGAGGGCCCUGUCAUUGCCCCCAGGAAUCCCACAGACUCCAAGGAGGCUGUGCCCCCGGGGCCAGGGGCCAACACUGCUGCAGCGGGGGGUGGCAACAUACGGCCAGGGGGGGAGGGUGCCAUGGCUCUCAACAACUAUGAGACAGAGCGCCUGCUGAGGCAGCUGCGGCGGCGGCUGAGGGAGGCUGACUGGGCCUGGCUCAGCGCCUGCAAUGGAGUGGUGGAAGGGAACUAUGAGCCUGUGGAGGCGUACCUCUCAGCCGGUGGUGACCCCAUGCGGCAGCUGACCAGUGCUGACGUGAAGCUGUUGUCCCGGUCCUCAGCCUUCGAUGAGGGACACACACUCGUCCACCUGGCCAUAAGGUUUGGCCGUGAAGACCUCCUGGCCACCAUCUUGUCACGGAUGGACGGCGGUGGCACUGGGGUGAAGCGGGUGCCAUCAUACGUGGCACCAGAUUUAGCCAAUGACAUCCGCCGGCACUUGUCAGCCUCCAUCCGGCAACGCAAAGGCCCCAUUCCUUGCUACUUUGUCUCUGAAUCCGUCACUUUCUCCCUUCCUGCUGAAAUUGAGGACCUUCCAGUAAGUGUGCAGGAGCAGCUGUUUGAAGAGCUGCUUGACCGAGAUGCACAGAAGCAGCUUGAGGAGGACGCGCCCAUCAUCAACUGGUCCCUUGAAAUCACUGACCGCCUUGGUGCUCGUCUCUAUGCCCUCUGGAACCGCACUGCAGGUGACUGCCUUCUGGACUCCAUCCUUCAGGCCACUUGGGGUGUCUUUGACAGGGAGAAUGUCCUCAGGAGAGCCUUGUCAGACAGUCUUUCAGAAGCAUCUCAUUUGUUCUACCCCCGAUGGAAGGAGUAUGAGCGAUGGCAAGCACGACUUCUUGACUAUUACGUCCCGGAAGGCCAGGUAUUGGAGGAGUGGGCUGAGCUUAUCUGCCUUGCCUCCCAGCCCGGCGCCGCACUUGAGCAGCUUCAUAUAUUCGUCCUGGCGCACAUCCUUCGCCGCCCCAUCAUUGUGUACGGGGUGAAGUGUGUCAAGAGUUUCCGUGGGGAGGACCUGGGCUAUGCGAGAUUUGAAGGUGUGUACCUACCUCUUCUGUGGGAGCCUACAUUCUGCUGGAAGUCCCCCAUCGCACUGGGCUACACCCGGGGACACUUCUCUGCCCUCAUCCCCAUGGAGCCUGACACCCCUGACAACUUGGGUGCUGGAGCAAUUUUGGAUUCUGGGGAGUCGCAGGUGGUGUUCCUUCCCUUGAUGACUCACGACGCCAAACUCCUGCCUGUUCACUUUGUCACUCAGGCUGAGGUUGGGUGUGAGGAGUCGUUGCUGCGGCAGUGGCUGGAGGUGUGUGUGAGUGAGGGCGGCGUGCUGGUGGCUCAGCAGCGACUCACCAAGAAGCCGCUGGCCGUGGCCCAGAUGACAGAGGAGUGGCUCAACCACUACAGGAGGCUUGCAGGGUGAAGUGUGUGGCCGGGGUGCUGCACCGGCACUGGCACUGACAUGGCCAUGCACUGGCCACACGGCCACAGCUGGUCUGUAAUUAUCACCACCACCUACGUGUGCUGGACUCUAACUGUGACCACCACUCACACUGAACACUGCACCACAAAAGAGCAAGUCCAGAAUACAAAUGGAGUGUGCACCGUACCACCGGCCAAUACCCACUCAGGGCUACUCCAGUGAUGGGGAUUCAGAGGAGGAGUAAAGCCUGGGGUGGUCACAACACAACCCAGGAGUGGACACCCUUCAAGGCACACUCGGCAGACCUGUUUCCCUCCCUCCGUUUCUCUACUGACCAAGUUGUAGCCAGGACACUUUCCCCUGAGGGUGCAGGAAAGGUGUCUGCUGGUCCCACUGCUACUGCCGGCCGACCAGAUCACUAGGGCAUGCCAGUGUUGCCAGUUCUGAGGUGGCUUACUUGUGAUCUUGAUGCUUUAAAUGAAAUUCUCCUUUGUAUGGCAUUAUGAAAGAGGUUCAAUGCUUAAAUUGUUCUUGGUAGGGUGUCACACGAAGGAGUUUAAUAGUUUCAUUUCAAUUCUCCUUAGUAGGACUUUACAAAAAGAGUUUGAUGCUUUAACCAGAUUCCCAGUAGGAUAUUAUUAAAAAGCUAUAAUUUGAAAGAGUUUUGUGUGUAGUAUGAUUUAUAUGAAGGUUUUAAGGUCUUAGAAUUUUACAAGUUCUAGGCUUUACUUGAAGGAAAAUGUGAGGAUUCUUAAAACUUUUUUACAAAUAGGUAAUUCUUCCCUCAAGUUUGCCAAGAACUUUAGGGAACUUAGUGUUUGGUUUAUAAGUGGGAUAAGUAAUUUGAGAUAAUUCAGUUGCAUUUAGUUAUACAAAAUUAUGAGUGUUAUUGGAAUUGAGUUGUAUUUGGGAAUAAGUUGACCCCUCUCUCCUCCAGCAUUCCAGAGAGACAGGAAUGGUGGCACAGGAGAGACAGACAAUCCUUCCCUUGUGAGACUGUCUUGUUUUCUGAGCAUUGCAAAACGCAUCACUCACCUAUAAUGAAGAAUUGAGCACAAGGAAUGCAAUCCAUUACAUGCUAGGCAACAAAGAACUAUUUAUUUCAGUUGGAGUGCCAAAAUCCCUUUGUUUCUUGAUCAGUACAGCACUAAUGAAAGAAUGCCUGUGUGCUUACAUUCUACAUUCAACACCUGCAUGUAGGUGAAGAUGAUAACUGAUAAAUGCAUUGUAGCUACUGAUCAACUUCAUGAGAACCCAGCAAAGUGUAGGACUGCUCCAGCUGGCAUGAGGAAUGCGAGUGCGUGAGUGUGUGUGCAUGUGUGUGGUAUAAUGCAGGGCAGCCUUGGAGGGUAUAAUACAGAGAGCUUCACCCAGAAUCCCUCUAUCCUCAUCCUGUCUCUUUCUCCUUUAUGUCAAUUGGCUGUUAAGUUGUUGUAUCAUAAAAGUAUAUUGUUUGAAUACGUGAAUGAUGUAGUUUAAAUGAACGAAUUAUUGGACGUAGAGUGAUCAGUGGGGAGAUGACGAUGGGUGAGGUGUCCUGUGGUGAGCCGGCCACUGAGAACCUCCUCCCAGUACAGUGAUCUGCAAGUCAGUGGCGUUUAAAAGUGCAAUUCCUAUAAGCAUAAUACAUCUCUUUCCAUCUAGUGUGGCAGCUUUCAUUGAUGUACUCCAUCAAGCUAGGGUUAUUAGGGCUAUACAGUGAAGUCUCCACUCUCUGCAGGGCAAAUUCCUCAGCGCCUCGAUCAGCAUAUUUCUUGAUUGACGAAUCUCAGUAUUUUGUGUGGUAGACAGUAUCUCCAUUUGUGAACGUGGCAGGUUGUUGUGCUGCUGGUGUCUGCUGGGUGGCUGGUGCAUGCAGCUACUAUGUGUGUGCUGCAGCAGCCAGCAUCACUGCCACUACUGUAGAACUCAUGCCUGUAUAUCAGUGAGUCCAGCUGAGGAGACUUGACUGUAUAGAGAAACACUGAGCUGCAUUUUGAUUUCUUGUCAUGCUGCCAGCAGACAAUACAACCCAGCAUUUGACUUUCGCAUGGACAUUGCAUACAGAAAGGUUAGACUUAAUACAUGGAUUACAUGGACUUCAGGAAAGUUAAUCAGUAUUCCUGGUAACUCAAGUUGCUUAAGCUGAACGUGACGCAUCAGCCAGCCGUGGGAAUGACAACGUUUGCCGUAACAACACAAUGUAAUCCUUUAUGUCAUGAUUUGGUUGUGAGUAAUAUUUAUCAGUAUUUCCUGGACUCUGUCUUGCAUUGCUUGGUAUGUUCAUAUCAAAUAACUGCAUUUAACUCCUUUCUUUGAGCACAAACAUGAAAUGAAAUUUUUCUCCAGUGCAACAGUCCUCCAGAUGAAAUGUUUCAGUCCCUGGUGUAGCAAGUCUUGCAUUGGCUGUUCUGAUGUUCCCUGCCCAAGCUGUGCUGGGAAGGCACUCUGAGAACACAGCCUCUCAAAUAUAGUAUAAUAUGGUAAAUGUAUAAAUAUUUGACUAUGUUGGAGAGCCCCUCCCAGACAAUAACAGCUUGAGGGAGGUGUGCAGGACAGACAUGAUACAUGACAGAAGAUACUCUAUAGCCAGGCAGUUGCCAAAGGAAAUUUUGUCAGUUUGUUUUGGCUACCCAACCCGACUUAUGUUGCUCCCUCCGUCCAUGUCACCACUCCACUGUGUUGUGUUAGUUUCUCCAGGCACCGUCAUGUCAGUUGUCAAUUAUCUCAUAGCUUUACGGCCAGCCUCCUGGUUCCACCGUGUAAAUAUGUACAGCUCCAAACAUCAGUUUCUGGUAAUUUUCAUGGAUUUUUCAAUAAUUCCCCCAAAAUAGGUCUGAAGUUCUUAAGUAUGGUAUUACAGAGAUUCUUCCAAACAAUAAUUAUUUCUUUAAACUUUUAUCAAUAGCUAAUAUAUUUCUAUACAAUUUUCUUUGUCUUUGGGUCACCAGCACUCAGCUACAUGGUGCACUUAACCUUGUAACUGAUCAAGAAAAUUAAGAUGUAGUUAUAAUACAAAAAACACUGCUUUGGCCUUCAAAAGAACAGAAUUCCGAGGCAAUUAGUCGACAAUUUGAGUUCAGUUUGAACCACUUUGAAAAGGCAAUCACAUGAUCACAUGUCACUCUGUCUUUGUAGUGGGUUGAGAGCAGUGUUUGGAGGAGCAGGAGCCUGGCGCUCAGGUUGUGUAUGUACAGCAGCGCCUUGCCUCACCAUCGCUCGUGGCUUCUCCAUGGUUACAGUACAAACCAAGAACACAGUGGGAGGAAAUCUGAGGAACAAGAGCCUUUCGCUGGGAUUCGCGACGCUCAACAUUACAAUACAAACACAAAGUGAAGAGUGUCCUGAUGUCCCCGGGCGGUUCCUUGAUUUCGCCCCAUACACUUAGCUGUCAGAACUGUAAAGUGGAAUUUUUGUAGUUUUGUCAGAGUCCUGUAGAAUUAUGGUCAUUUAUGCAUGAUGUGAUGAUGUGCAACGGCCGUGCUGAUUUUAUAAGGAGUAGUUUUUAACCCCUGAUAAUGCAUAAUGGCUAGAUGUUUGUAAACUUUUCUGCUCUGAACUUUCUUGAGGGAAAAGCUCAAAUAUGGAAACUGAAAAUUUUCAGUGACUUUUUCAUGGCAAGACUAGCCACCAAAAAGAAUAGUGUGUCCCUUUGUCACCAAGUCUGCCUGGCUAUAUUAGAAAUUAACUACAUGUUCAACAUAUAUGUUAUAUCACAGUUCUAGAAAGCUAACCCCACCAUGUAGUGUAUCUCCAGUGGAUUGUUUAUCAGAAAUUGUUAUGUAUAUAUAUAUAAUGAAAAUAUACAGAAUGCUUAAAAAGGA